rnacentral:misc_RNA from 1 species
AAAGUCGUAACAAGGUUUCCGUAGGUGAACCUGCGGAAGGAUCAUUAAAGUGUUUCGGAGCCUGGCUCGGGCGUCUCUUCACGAGGCGUCGGUGCCCAGCGCCCCCACACGUGUUUACUCAACUUGGUUGCCUUGGCGAGCCUGCCCUCGUGGCUGCCGGGGAUGCCUCACGGCGUCUCGGGCUCGUGCUCGCCAGUGGAACAUUUGAACUCUCUGUGAAAAUAGUCAGUCUGAGCAUUAUGCAAAUUAAACAAAACUUUCAACAACGGAUCUCUUGGUUCCG